GCACUGCUGAGGAGUCCCAGAAUGAAACGAAAUGGCCGUCCAGUGC
rnacentral:hammerhead_ribozyme from 1 species